GCUCACUUCAGUGGCUCAUAUGACAAAAUUGGCAUGACACAGGAGUUAGCAUGGCCCCUGUAUAAGGAAGACCCGUAAGUUCAUGUAGUGGCCCAUAUGUUU